CCACCCUCAGGCCCUGUUUGCCUGGCGUUGGGGCUUCUGUAGGCCAGGCCCUACAGGCCCUCAAGAACAGUGGCGGGCUCGCCUGGACUCCGAGCGCAGUAAUUUCUCUCGCUCAGGGGGCUCCAGGUGGGUUUGGCCGUUAAACCCCCUAAAUUUUUAGAA
rnacentral:misc_RNA from 1 species